rnacentral:rRNA from 1 species
UUGGAGGGCAAGUCUGGUGCCAGCAGCCGCGGUAAUUCCAGCUCCAAUAGCGUAUAUUAAAGUUGUUGCAGUUAAAAAGCUCGUAGUUGAACUUCGGGAUCAAUGGAUUGGUCAUGCCGUUGGUAUGUACUGGUCAUAUUGGUUCUCACCUUCUAAGGAACCAUAAUGUCAUUCAUUUGAUGUUUUGGGGAAUUAGGACUGUUACCUUGAAAAAAUUAGAGUGUUUAAAGCAGGCUAACGCUUGAAUACAUUAGCAUGGAAUAAUGAAACAGGACAUCGCAUUCUAUUUUGUUGGUUUCUAGGAUCGAUGUAAUGAUUAAUAGGGAUAGUUGGGGGCAUUAGUAUUCAAUUGUCAGAGGUGAAAUUCUUGGAUUUAUUGAAGACUAACUACUGCGAAAGCAUUUGCCAAGGAUGUUUUCAUUAAUCAAGAACGAAAGUUAGGGGAUCGAAGACGAUCAGAUACCGUCGUAGUCUUAACCAUAAACUAUGCCGACUAGGGAUCGGAUGAUGUUGAUUUUUUAAUGACUCAUUCGGCGCCUUACGGGAAAC